rnacentral:rRNA from 1 species
UACGGAGGGAGCUAGCGUUGUUCGGAAUUACUGGGCGUAAAGCGCACGUAGGCGGUUAUUCAAGUCAGAGGUGAAAGCCCGGAGCUCAACUCCGGAAUUGCCUUUGAAACUAGAUAACUUGAAUCCAGGAGAGGUGAGUGGAAUUCCGAGUGUAGAGGUGAAAUUCGUAGAUAUUCGGAAGAACACCAGUGGCGAAGGCGGCUCACUGGACUGGUAUUGACGCUGAGGUGCGAAAGCGUGGGGAGCAACAGG